GCAUGACCUUUCAUCGCACGAAACGUCUUCGAAAAGUUUUAUGAACAUAACACCUGCAGGAAGACGUUCUCAACCAAACAUUAAUGGCUUCCAAAGAUCAGUUCUCACCAAACUGGAAACAUUAAUUGUUAAGCAAGAAGAAACGUUGUCAAUAUUGCGUGCUCUGUUAAGCGCUACGAAAGGUGUAGACGAGCACGAAAUUUUGGAAGAUGUUGUACCUAAUGCCUUUGAUUCGGUUUAAGAACUUGAGGACUAUCCUCUAGUCUUGAUGAAGAAAAGUCCAGAAGAAAGUUGCUGCAGUUUUUGGUAGCACUUUGGCAAACACCUGUGCAAACAGUGUUAGAAGAAUUAUGAAAAAGCUGGGAACAAAUAAUCUAUGGUCCCAAUAUAGUUUAAAAGUCAGAAAGUCAAAGCGACCAUUUCAGCACCUUGCCCUCUGCAAAGUUAUAACAAGCCAAGGUUUGUUCAAUCUACCAACGCUGAGGCAGAUAGAACACAUUGAUGCCUUGAUAAUUCUUUAUAUUACGUGAAAACCCAAUUCAAUAAUUGUUUUAUUAUUUAUAUAAAAAAGAUAGUGUUGGUUAAAUGUGAAAAAGGUGCCAUAACGAUUAAAGUUUUGUUCACUUGUUUUGUUUCUCGUGCGUAUGAGAUGACGUUGUAGAGCGAGAUAAUUUCUUAUAUCCGACGUACGUACGUAGUGGCAUUCAUAUAAGUGGAUUUAUUCGAUUGC